rnacentral:rRNA from 1 species
CAAUAGCGUAUAUUAAAGUUGUUGCAGUUAAAAAGCUCGUAGUUGGAUUUGUGGCGUACGGUGUGUUCCGGGCACUUGUUGUCUGAGUAACCUGCUGUUGCCAUCCUUGGGUGGAACCUGUGUGGCAUUAGGUUGUCGUGCAGGGGAUGCCCAUCAUUUACUGUGAAAAAAUUAGAGUGUUCAAAGCAGGCUUAUGCCGUUGAAUAUAUUAGCAUGGAAUAAUGAGAUAGGACUUUUUUGCUAUUUUGUUGGUUUGCGCAAAGAGGUAAUGAUUAAUAGGGACAGCUGGGGGUAUUCGUAUUCCAUUGUCAGAGGUGAAAUUCUUGGAUUUUUGGAAGACGAACUACUGCGAAAGCAUUUACCAAGGAUGUUUUCAUUAA